rnacentral:rRNA from 1 species
UGAGUAACGCGUGAGGAACCUACCUUUCAUGGGGGGACAACAGUUGGAAACGACUGCUAAUACCGCAUGAUACUUUUUGGGGGCAUCCCUGGAAAGUCAAAGCUUUAUGUGCUGAAAGAUGGCCUCGCGUCUGAUUAGCUAGUUGGUGAGGUAACGGCUCACCAAGGCACGAUCAGUAGCCGGUCUGAGAGGAUGAACGGCCACAUUGGGACUGAGAUACGGCCCAGACUCCUACGGGAGGCAGCAGUGGGGAAUAUUGCACAAUGGGGGAAACCCUGAUGCAGCAACGCCGCGUGAGUGAUGAAGUAUCUCGGUAUGUAAAACUCUAUCAGCAGGGAAGAAAAUGACGGUACCUGACUAAGAAGCCCCGGCUAACUACGUG